rnacentral:rRNA from 1 species
UCCAGACUCCUACGGGAGGCAGCAGUUAGGAAUAUUGGGCAAUGGAGGAAACUCUGACCCAGCAACGCCGCGUGAAGGAGGAAGGUUUUCGGAUUGUAAACUUCUGAUCUGUGGGACGAAGAAAGUGACGGUACCACAGGAGAAAGCCACGGCUAACUACGUGCCAGCAGCCGCGGUAAUACGUAGGGGGCAAGCGUUAUCCGGAUUUACUGGGUGUAAAGGGAGCGUAGACGGCAGCACAAGUCUGGAGUGAAAUGCCGGGGCUUAACCCCGGAACUGCUUUGGAAACUGUGCAGCUAGAGUGCAGGAGAGGUAAGUGGAAUUCCUAGUGUAGCGGUGAAAUGCGUAGAUAUUAGGAGGAACACCAGUGGCGAAGGCGACUUUCUGGACAGUAACUGACGUUGAGGCACGAAAGUGUGGGGAGCAAACAGGAUUAGAUACCCCGGUA